rnacentral:rRNA from 1 species
CAACUCGCCUGCAUGAAGCUGGAAUUGCUAGUAAUCGCGGAUCAGCAUGCCGCGGUGAAUACGUUCCCGGGCCUUGUACACACCGCCCGUCACACCAUGAGAGUCGGGAACACCCGAAGUCCGUAGUCUAACCGCAAGGAGGGCGCGGCCGAAGGUGGGUCCGGUAAUUGGGUGAAGUCGUAACAAGGUAUC